GUGAAUAAUAAAAACCGAUAUAUCGGAAAACAGUGAACAGUUAAUUGUGCUGGUUGAUUUUAUAGCCGCAAUAGCGGAACAGAAUGUUUUGACAGAAGCGGACGAAAGGAUUACCCUUUUUGUGGUUCUGCGGAGGAAACAGAGCCAUCAAUCAGCAUAUAAGUAAAACGGCAUUGGACGAACAUGAAAGUCUACAGACACAAACACGUCCUCGUAUACUUCAAUGCAUCGAGAAUCUUCGAAAUAUGGAAAAACGCUGGCAAAUUAAAAAUGAUUUUUAGCGCCGAUCCGUCGCAAAGUGUCAAAAAGUGAAUUUAAUCGCGAAGUCACGGAAAGACGAUAAUAGAAGCCGAAAAUUCUGCAAAAGGUAUUUAUUUUUAAUAAGAGACAUAUUGAUAGAGAGGGCUGUUUCGCUCACUUCUGAAAAACAUAGCAUUGCAGGGCUGGUAUUGAAAAAAAUAAACUGGAAAAUGGAUAUAUUAUUAUGAUUUACCAAUUGUUCAUUCAUAUUAUUGUAUUAUUAUUAUUAAAAUUAUAUAAAAUGUGUUCAUAUUUAGGAAAAAAAUGAUUUAAAAACAAAACUGGAGCGUGACAAAAUCAUAUUUAAAAAUGAAUUAAAAUUUAUUAUAGGCCUUAAAGUUAAUAGAUAAGAAAAAAAUAAAAAUUUA